CCCUUAGAUGUUCUGGGCCGCACGCGCGCUACACUGAUGCAUUCAACAAGCCUAGCCUUGACCGAGAGGUCCGGGUAAUCUUUGAAACUGCAUCGUGAUGGGGCUAGAUUAUUGCAAUUAUUAAUCUUCAACGAGGAAUGCCUAGUAAGCGUGAUACAUCAAAUCGCGUUGAUUACGUCCCUGCCCUUUGUACACACCGCCCGUCGCUCCUACCGAUUGAAUGUGUUGGUGAGGAGCUCGGAUUGGCAGCAGUUGGUGGUUCGCCACCGGCUAUUGCUGAGAAGUCCUCCAAACCGCCCCAUUUAGAGGAAGGAGAAGUCGUAACA
rnacentral:rRNA from 1 species